CAAGAUGAUUUAGGCCAAGUCCAUGACAAAGACAAGGCCCGCUUCUUAAGAAUUGAUCCGUCAUUGUAAAACUGGAAAUUCCCAAAUUCAUAAAUCAUAGAAAUAAACCUCAAAACCCUGAAAUUUGUACAAACCAUCAAGAAAUAUGUUUUUCAGAAGAAGCAGAUUUUUAUCAUUUCCUAUGGUAAUUGGAGCUGUAUUGAUUGGAAUGAUUUCUGGGAAAGCAAUAUUUGGCCCCCCACUUGAUGAGUAUUGGAAAAAGAAGCUUCAAGAAGAUGCAGCUACAAAAGACACCGACAAAAACUCUACAUAGUCGAUAUACUCAUUCGCGGCAGUAGGAACAUGAGAUUUGCUGAUUAAGGAGCCUAGUAAGUGUAUCCAUUCACUAUUCUUGAUGCCAUACAGAGUUUGGUAGAGAAUGCAAUGCUGAUACAUCAAAAUAGUUUUGGGGCUGAGUCGAUCGUUAUGCAAUAUGCUUGUUAACUGGUCAAACUGUAAAAGCAGAAACAGCCUCCUCUAGCUGAUUCUCAAGGUAAUUGAACCUUCAGUUGUAUCAAUUUUGACGAAUUAGUACCGAAGCAAAUAUUUACUGUGCAAAUAAUGCAAAUCACCUUUAUGUUGAUCCUAACAAACGCGUUUCUGUUAUUUUCUAGUUGAACAAUCGUAUUGAUCCUUAAUUAACUUUUAA